rnacentral:rRNA from 1 species
AGAGUUUGAUCCUGGCUCAGAUUGAACGCUGGCGGUAUGCUUAACACAUGCAAGUCGAACGGAAACGAUACUAGCUUGCUAGUAGGCGUCGAGUGGCGGACGGGUGAGUAACGCGUAGGAAUCUGCCUGAUAGUGGGGGAUAGCCCGAAGAAAUUCGGAUUAAUACCGCAUAAUCUAUUCGUAGUAAAGUGGGGGACUUUCGAGCCUCACGCUAUCAGAUGAGCCUGCGUAAGAUUAGCUUGUUGGUGGGGUAAAAGCCCACCAAGGCGACGAUCUUUAGCUGGUCUGAGAGGAUGAUCAGCCACAUCGGGACUGAGACACGGCCCGAACUCCUACGGGAGGCAGCAGUGGGGAAUAUUGGACAAUGGGGGCAACCCUGAUCCAGCAAUACCGCGUGUGUGAAGAAGGCCUGAGGGUUGUAAAGCACUUUCAAUUGUGAAGAAAAGUUAGCGGUUAAUAACCGUUAGCCUUGACGUUAACUUUAGAAGAAGCAC